CCCAACAGGAUACGCAGUGGAGAACAAUAGGCUAAGACUAGAGUGAACACCUGUUCCGCCUCACGUCGUAUUUCACAUCGAUUUUAGCCUCCGUUCCGCGUCAAAUUGAACAUUUUGUCCCACUUUUUCAUUACUUUAUUGAAAAUAAACUAUUUUUAUUUACCUGGCUAUAUCUAUGACUAUCAGUGGAGUCUAUAGCAAUGAUAGGUGACUUCGUGGAUAAGGUGCUAGCUUACAGGCUCACUGGUGUGUCAAUCAAACUGCUAACUAGCCGCAGUAGCACACACUUUAGCGUCUGGAAUCGUAAAGCGCUGUUUUGAAACUGUAAAGGGGCCCAUGUACAGUGUACCGACAAAAAAAGAAGACGCCACCGUUUGGUUGAUACCGGUACCGAUUCUGAACCGGCAUUCUGAAGUUUGUGUAAAUAAACGGCCUUUCUGUCGGAUAUGGUGGUGAAUCGUCGUGAAUGGGAAACGAUACAAUGCACUACUGGCUGUUUUGACUGUGAGAGGAAACUGGAGUACACACCAGGGCAACAUGCUGGACAACUCCAUCAGUUUCGGCCUGAUAUCAGAGACUUGCAGGUUCAAAUCCCACCCGGAGUCUUCACAUCCCAUACAAGCUGCAGCAGGAGGCGCCAUUAAGUAUGUGGUUCCUCUGGGCCUCGAAACUAGGACCUCCUGUGUGUAAGGCAAGCAUGAUAACCACUACACCAUUGAACUACUAAAUGCAUAUAUUUGUGAUCAUCUUACUCUGAGGCGACCACCCUACCACUGUAAAGUAACAAUUGUGGUCCAUGGCUUGGCAGUACUUCCUAUCCUAACCCCUCCAGCUGCCAAUCAGAAUCUUUCAGCAUCCCGUCUCUCCCGUCUCUAUUGCAUGCAGUUUUGGUUUUGUUUUGAACACCUGACACGAAUCAAAUUGACUGGAUUAAGUUGUUCUAACAGCAUAAACAGCAGAUGAGAAGCGAGCGAGGUGAGGGAGGAUCCGCCUCCCCCUCUUGGCUUUUUUUUUAAUUGCCAGACGAACUCGCCCACUGUCACGUCGCGGUGCCCUUUUCUUGAGUGCUUACACAGCUGAGAGCGCUUAUUGAGUUAUGAUGUUGUUGCAGCACUUGAUAGUUCAUUACUGCGGUAGACAAGUGAUGCAAGCGGCGAGCUUUGCCCUUUCAUGAUCAAUCCUAAAUUCAUCAGCGCUCCUCAAAGGACCCCCGACUUGAUUAAAACACACUCCAGUCCAAUUCAUAGACAUUGUCGGAUUUCUCUGCGGGCCACUCAUUUCACUUAUAAUCAAUGUGGCUCUCGCACUUUGCUCUUCAGCACCGCAGCUUCACCGCUGGUUAAAUGGAGUUGAACCCAGACGGCCUCCAGGUGAAAACGAACCACCGCCGUACGUCCCAAAGAAAACAUCUGGUGACACCGUGCAGUGCCUGACAUGCGGAGGACAACAGAUCACUCCUAUUUUAGGACAGCGGUGCUUAGGCAGAGACUAGAGUCCAUCAUCAUCUCCUCAUUUCCUGCAGCUAUUUGAGACGAUGCCCGACUAAAAUAGACCCAAAAUGACCGCAGUGACAGAUCACCUGACAUCAAAGCCGGGCACAGUUGAAUAUCAUCAGCACCAUCACUGACCACGUGCCCGUGAAUCCCUGUCUGACGUGGAACCUUGUCAAGAUGGGAAAAUAACCCAUCUGUCCAGCAAACGCUUCCAUAUGGACACAAAGGACGCAGCGCAUUCUUCUGGAAAUGAAAGCAGCUCCUUUCAUCUAAGAGACAUAAUCAAUAAUUGAUAAGGCCUGCCGCCGCAGGGUUUGAGGAUAAAUCGGGACGAGAAGGAGUGACGGGACGCGAGCAAGGUGCCCAGUACACUUUCCAACCUUGGGGCCUUCUGAAGUCGAACCAGCUGUGUUUCCCUUCAUGUGGUAAAUGGGAACGUGAACAAGGCAUGACAUCAUCAGAAAGGGACCUGUGACCACAGAGGAGGUGCCAGCUGCUGAGGGAGCGCCAGGUUGGAUCGAAACACGAGUGAAAUCCAUGAGCCUCCCGCGAUAUGAGUGUGGAAGGUCGUUUAGAGAGAGACGGCUGGAUGAACAAGUGCUGGAGAGAUUUGCUGGACAUGAAGUCGCCUGGUGGAUCACUUUAGCCUGGUCAUCUGAAUAGUAGCUUCAGAGCUGAGAAAGAAUGAACGUCGCUGGUCUACGAUCUACGAUGGAGUUCAAAAAGAAUAAGUGAGUCAAAUCUGCAAAUCAUCCUUGCCGUCCCUCGUGCUAACGCUGAUAUCGUCAUUAUAUUUGAUGCCAGUCUCGCUGCGAUCGACUUCGAUAAAGCACAUCGGAUACGUUGGGGAAAGCACGUCAUUGCAGCUUCAGCAGGUGUCCGCCGUCAGACAUCACACUCAUCCAAGUACCAGAACCCAAACGGACCAAACUUCAAUCGACAAUCGUUUACCUAAUUAACGUGGGAAAAAAAAAACCCCGGCUCCGUGAUCAACCUCUCCCAGUGUGUAAACGUGCCAUUCAUAGUGCUGAAAAGAGCUGUUGGCCUGCCACCUGCUGGAUUGUGAUGCAAGUCUGUUUGAUGAAGUUUGGCAUAGCCCCUGUGGUCCAGUAUUAGAUUCUCUGGCUUGAGGUCUCUGUAGAUGAUCCCUUUGGAAUGCAGGUCUAAAAAGCCCUUAAAUGGAAAGAAGACGUACCUGACGAUGAAGUCAGAGUGGGCUUCCUGCAUGAUGAGCUUUUCUGAACGAAUGUGCUCCUGUUGUCUGGUAUCAACGAUGUGCCGCUUCUUCAGGAUCUUCAUGGCGAAUGUUUUGUUUUCGUCACUCUUGAGCUGAACCUGCAGUUAAGAGAGAAUCAAGCCCACGCUCACUGACGAACCUGAUGACCUGCUGCUGACCUACACGGGCACCUGUUCUCCGGAGUCCACCUCUUAUCCACAGAUGCCCCACGUCUUAGUUUUUGAAGGGGACGCUUUGGUCUUUGGAUCAGUGGGUUUCAGACAGAUCUACGCCUGAACAAGCCUCUCUGGGUCACUUAAGAGCAGACUCCUGUCUCAGCGUGAGGCCGUCGACCCCGCAAAGGCUGAACAGCUGCACACCCAAAGCCGCCAGGAAAAUGCUCACCUCGAAAGUGCGCUCUCUUCGAGAGAAACAGAAAAACAACUGAAUUUACACGGAUUCAGAAGUGCACUCCUACUCACCUACAAGGCAAGGAGCAGUAAGGACAGACUCUAUGAGGUUCAUAAUACUGCCGAGGUGGGAUCAUGUCGUUGUUUUGCAAGUCACAAGUGUCAAGUCUUUGCCCUCAAUUCCUGAAUCAAGUCCCAAGUCAAAACUGGCAAGUCUCAAGUCAAGGCCCAAGUCCUGGAGCUUCAGUUUCAAAUUGACGGAUGAGACGGAGACGGAGGCAGAGGCGUCGUCUUGGUCCUCAGGGCGGAUUUGUAUCAUGUUACACUUUUUUUGUGUUUUUUUUAUCCUGUCUAUGCAAAUGUUUUCACACGUAAACAUUCUUCUGUACUUUUUUUUAUCAACUAAAAAUAAAGACAAAGGGCUGGAGCUACUUGUGGAGUCAUGUAGUGAAUUAAUCUAUUUCAUUAUUUAUACGGUCUGUUCUACUUAAUAUUAAAGAUGGAGAGGAUAAUAAUACCAGAUGAACGCACAGCCUAAGUUUUUUGUUUUUUUGCAACUAAUGUUUAUAGAGGCAGGGCUUCUAUUAUUGACUCCAUAAAUUAAAGAUAAUGCUGAUUUAAUCAUUAAUUAAAAAAGAAAAACCUAUUUUGAUUUUCUUUUUUUAAAACUUAC